GACGAACGCUGGCGGCGUGCUUAACACAUGCAAGUCGAGCGGUAAGGCCCUUUCGGGGGUACACGAGCGGCGAACGGGUGAGUAACACGUGGGUGACCUGCCCUCAGCUCUGGGAUAAGCCUGGGAAACCGGGUCUAAUACUGGAUAUGACUCCAUGACGCAUGUUGUGGGGUGGAAAGCCUUGUGCGGCUGAGGAUGGGCCCGCGGCCUAUCAGCUUGUUGGUGGGGUGANGGCCUACCAAGGCGACGACGGGUAGCCGGCCUGAGAGGGCGACCGGCCACACUGGGACUGAGACACGGCCCAGACUCCUACGGGAGGCAGCAGUGGGGAAUCUUGCGCAAUGGGCAAAGCCUGACGCAGCGACGCCGCGUGAGGGAUGAAGGCCU
rnacentral:rRNA from 1 species